rnacentral:rRNA from 1 species
AUUGAACGCUGGCGGCAGGCCUAACACAUGCAAGUCGAGCGAGCGGCGGACGGGUGAGUAAUGUAUGUGGACUCCCCGAUAGAGGGGGAUAACUACUGGAAAAGGUGGUUAAUACCGCAUACUAUCGGAUAACCCAUAUGGGGUUAGCUAGUGGGUGAGGUAAUGGCUCACCUAGGCGACGAUCCCUCGCUGGUCUGAGCGGAUGAUCAGCCACACUGGGACUGAGACACGGCCCAGACUCCUACGGAGGCAGCAGUGGGGAAUAUGGCACAAUGGGCGCAAGCCUGAAGCAGCCAUGCCGCGUGUAUGAAGAAGGCCCUAGGGUUGUAAAGUACUUUCAGUCGCGAGGCGUUACCGACAGAAGAAGCACCGGCUAACUCCGUGCCAGCAGCCGCGGUAAUAC